rnacentral:lncRNA from 1 species
GUGAAGAAUGAUGUGUCGACAGUAAUGUUUUAUUUCACUCCUGAAGAAAUAUAUGUUCCCGAGAGACCCGCUCCGACAACAAUAUAUUUCCCAGAAAGUCCAGCACCAAUUUACUCUGACAACAGUGAAGAAUGAUGUGUCGACAGUAAUGUUUUAUUUCACUCCUGAAGAAAUAUAUGUUCCCGAGAGACCCGCUCCGACAACAAUAUAUUUCCCAGAAAGUCCAGCACCAAUUU